rnacentral:rRNA from 1 species
CACGUAGGGGGCAAGCGUUGUCCGGAUUUAUUGGGCGUAAAGAGCUCGUAGGUGGCUCGAUAAGUCGGGUGUUAAACCCCCAGGCUCAACCUGGGGCGCCACUCGAUACUGUCGUGGCUAGAGUCCGGUAGGGGAGCGUGGAAUUCCUGGUGUAGCGGUGAAAUGCGCAGAUAUCAGGAGGAACACCAGCGGCGAAGGCGGCGCUCUGGGCCGGAACUGACACUGAGGAGCGAAAGCGUGGGGAGCGAACAGG